rnacentral:misc_RNA from 1 species
CGAGCCGAAUGAGAGAUCGGAGGCUCGCAUGCAACCCUUAACAUACCCCAAUGAAGUAUCAGAAUGUACCUUGCGUUAACUCGCACAAAUAUAACUUUCAACAACGGAUCUCUUGGCUCUCGCAUCGAUGAAGAACGCAGCGAAAUGCGAUAAGUAAUGUGAAUUGCAGAAUUCAGUGAAUCAUCGAAUCUUUGAACGCACCUUGCGCCCCUUGGCAUUCCGAGGGGCACGCCUGUUUGAGUGUCGUGAACUCCUCCACCCUCUACCUUUUUCGAAGGGCAUUGGGCUGGGAUUUGGGAGCUUGCGGGUCCCUGGCCGAUCCGCUCUCCUUGAAUACAUUAGCGAAGCCCUUGCGGCCUUGGUGUGAUAGACAUCUACUCCUCGGCUUAGCGAACAUAUGGGAAUCGCUUCCAACCGUCUCGCAAGAG